UACAGAGGUCUCAAGCGUUGUUCGGAUUCAUUGGGCGUAAAGGGUGUGUAGGUGGCGCCGUAAGUCGGGUGUGAAAUCUCGGGGCUUAACUCCGAAACUGCAUUCGAUACUGCGGUGCUUGAGGACUGGAGAGGAGACUGGAAUUCAUGGUGUAGCAGUGAAAUGCGUAGAGAUCAUGAGGAAGACCAGUGGCGAAGGCGAGUCCCUGGACAACACCUGACACUGAGGCACGAAAGCUAGGGGAGCAAACAGG
rnacentral:rRNA from 1 species